UACGAAGGUGGCAAGCGUUGUUCGGAUUUACUGGGCGUACAGGGAGCGUAGGCGGUUGGGUAAGCCCUUCGUGAAAUCUCCGGGCCUAACCCGGAAAGUGCGGAGGGGACUGCUCGGCUAGAGGAUGGGAGAGGAGCGCGGAAUUCCCGGUGUAGCGGUGAAAUGCGUAGAGAUCGGGAGGAAGGCCGGUGGCGAAGGCGGCGCUCUGGAACAUUUCUGACGCUGAGGCUCGAAAGCGUGGGGAGCAAAC
rnacentral:rRNA from 1 species